UGGGGGAUAUUGCACAAUGGGCGAAAGCCUGAUGCAGCGACGCCGCGUGGGGGAUGAAGGCUUUCGGGUUGUAAACCUCUUUCGCUAUCGAACAAGGCCCGCUUAGGGUGGGUUGAGGGUAGGUGGAGAAGAAGCGCCGGCUAACUACGUGCCAGCAGCCGCGGUAAUACGUAGGGCGCGAGCGUUGUCCGGAAUUAUUGGGCGUAAAGGGCUUGUAGGCGGCUUGUUGCGCCUGCUGUGAAAACGCGGGGCUUAACUUCGCGCGUGCAGUGGGUACGGGCAGGCUUGAGUGUGGUAGGGGUGACUGGAAUUCCAGGUGUAGCGGUGGAAUGCGCAGAUAUCUGGAGGAACACCGAUGGCGCAGGCUGGUCACUGGGCCAUUACUGACGCUGAGGAGCGAAAGCAUGGGUAGCGAACAGG
rnacentral:rRNA from 1 species